AUGGAUGAGAAUAUACCAGCAAGUGGUUACCCAAGGAGUUCCCGCAAAAUAGUUAGUUGCUUCCAUCACUACAAAGUUGAAAUAUUCAAUGAGGUUCUUGACAGAAACAUAUCUAAGAUGAAUAACCGGUUCAGUGAAACUUCAACAAGAUUGAUAUGCAUUGCUAGUCUAGAUCCUAGAGACUCAUUUAGCAGAUUUAAUCAUGAGAACCUACUUGAGCUUGCAUCUAUGUACUCAGUCGAGUUCGAUCCAGAAGAACAAUAUCAUUUGGAUGGUCAGCUCAAGAUAUACAUUGAUAUGAUGAAAAGGUCUGAUGUUUUUUGCAGUUGUGGUAGUCUCGCUAAUCUUGCUCUCAAGUUGGUUGAAACUGAGGAACAUUUACACAUUCCUUUGGUUUACCGACUCAUCACACUUGCUUUGACUUUGCCAGUAGCGACAACAUCUGUUGAAAGAGUUUUCUCAGCCAUGAAUAUCAUUAAGACAGAUUUGAGAAAUAAGAUAUCUGAUGAUUGGUUGAAUGAUAUGAUGAUAUGCUAUGUAGAGCGAGAUAUAUUUGCUGGAAUUGAUGACAAGAAGAUCAUAGAACAUUUUCACAGCUUGAGAGACCGUAGAGGCCAUCUACCCAACCAUCCCCGUAUACUUACGACUUAG
rnacentral:rRNA from 1 species